AUACCAGCCCCGCGAGCGGUCGAGGUGCUUACUGGGCCUAAAGCGCCCGUAGCCGGCUCGACAAGUCCCCGCCUAAAGCCCCGGGCUCAACCCGGGGAGUGGCGGGGAUACUGUCGGGCUAGGGGGCGGGAGAGGCCGAGGGUACUCCCGGGGUAGGGGCGAAAUCCACUAAUCCCGGGAGGACCACCAGUGGCGAAGGCGCUCGGCUGGAACGCGCCCGACGGUGAGGGGCGAAAGCCGGGGGAGCGAACCGGAUUAGAAACCCUAGUAGUCC
rnacentral:rRNA from 1 species